rnacentral:rRNA from 1 species
CUUGGUCAUUUAGAGGAAGUAAAAGUCGUAACAAGGUCUCCGUUGGUGAACCAGCGGAGGGAUCAUUACUGAGUUACACAACUCCAAACCCUUUGUGAACAUUACUUUUCUGUUGCUUCGGUAGGCGGCUCCAGGGGGAUGCCUUUGCCAUUUUUUUGGUGCCUACCGAAAGACCAAACUCUUUGCAACACUAUGUUUUCUGAAGAAUUAUACAAUAGCUAAAAACUUUCAACAAUGGAUCUCUUGGUUCUGGCAUCGAUGAAGGACGCAGCGAAAUGCGAUAAGUAAUGUGAAUUGCAGAAUUCAGUGAAUCAUCGAAUCUUUGAACGCACAUUGCGCCCGUUAGCAUUCUAGCGGGCAUGCCUGUUCGAGCGUCAUUUACACCCUCAGGACUUGUUUUCCUGGUGUUGGGGAGCCUGUAGGCAUAGCCUUCAAGUCCCUAAAAGCUAGUGGCGGGUUCUGUCAUAUCCCGAGCGUAGUAAUUUUUCUCGUUUAGGGUGUAUGGUUGACCCUAGCCUUACACUAUUUUAUUUCAAAGUUGACCUCGGAUCAGGUAGGAAUACCCGCUGAACUUAAGCAUAUCAAUAAGCGGAGGA